CCUACACGAAGUUGGAAUUGCUAGUAAUCGUGGAUCAGCAUGCCACGGUGAAUACGUUCCCGGGUCUUGUACACACCGCCCGUCACACCAUGGGAGCUGGUAACACCCGAAGUCAGUAGUCUAACCGCAAGGAGGACGCUGCCGAAGGUGGGAUUAGCGACUGGGGUGAAGUCGUAACAAGGUAGC
rnacentral:rRNA from 1 species